AACCUGCCUUUGAGAAGGGGAUAACUGUCCGAAAGGAUAGCUAAUACCCUAUAUUGCCCUUUGUCACUAAGGCAAAAAGUGAAAGCGAGGCUGUCAAAGGCUUCGGCUCAAAGAGGGGUUCGCGUCCUAUCAGGUAGUUGGUGGGGUAAUGGCCUACCAAGCCAAUGACGGGUAGCUGGUCUUAGAGGAUGAUCAGCCACAGUGGGACUGAGACACGGCCCGCACCCCUACGGGGGGCAGCAGUGGGGAAUCGUGGGCAAUGGGCGCAAGCCUGACCCCGCAAUGCCGCGUGAGGGAAGAAGCCCUUCGGGGUGUAAACCUCUGUCAGAUGGGAAGAUGGGACUAGGGGCUAAUACCUCCUGGUCUUGACAGUACCAUCAGAGGAAGGGACGGCUA
rnacentral:rRNA from 1 species